CUUAUUAUGCAUCGACAAUGUGGAGUUUCUUCCAACUAGUCAAUACACUUUUUAUAGGUAUCUUUCUUUUGCCUUUCAUAGCCACAACAAGGCUAUAAUACGUUUCCUUCCUGGUUUUUUUGUAGACCACUUUCAGCUGAUUCUAAAAAAUUAAAAUGAAUGGUAAUUUUUCUAUUCUUUACAAUUAAAAAUCAAAAGAAAUAGGAAAUAGGUACUACUAUUUACAGGUAAUAAUAUGCAUAAAUAAUUCGUUUCCUAAAGAAUACAGAAAAUUGAAAACGUUUUUAUAAUACUUACAUAAUUGUUUAAACAAAAGAGACCCAGCCAGAGCAAAACUAACAGACAGAACUGCAAAAAAGCCACUAAUUUCCAUUUUCCCACCCCCUUAUCUUAUAUGCAUUUUCCAAUCAAAAUUUUUAGGUUGUCAUGAACAUGAAAGACUCAACCUCAACAAAUAAUAAUAAACAAAAAGCUCUACUUCCACUUCCCGCCAAAUGGACACAGGUUGGUGACACUGAAUUUACGCCAAAUAAAAUGAAAAAAUAGAACAAUUAGGGAUUCCAAUGAACUGUCAGUGGUGGUCGGUGGAUGGCUAAACUGACAUGGCCAUAGACACAGUUAAGGGGGGUGGUCAUGAUGUAUGUAAUAUUUACAUUGAAUAUUGACAAAUUUGUAAAGAAUAUCCUGUUUGGUUUUGUUUUUUUGUUAAUUGUGUAGCGAAAUUUGUGAAAUUGUGAUAGCAAAUUAAAUAUGAAGUGGUUUAAACAUUGGAUACGCCUAUGGAUGACAGUUUCGCCAUCCAGCAGCCAUAUUAUAUCACGUGAUUUGGAAUGCCUAAUUUUCUUUUUCGUCAAUUUCUUCACGUGAAGUUUAUAACGAACAAACUUAGAUGUCAAAGUGUGCUUUUACACGUCAAAUUUGGCCUUGAAUAACUUGGUCAAUUUCUUGUCCAAUUUAUUGUUGAUGUAAAGUGGACUUAAGAAAUU